UAAUACAUGCAAGUCGAGCGGACAGAUGGGAGCUUGCUCCCUGAUGUUAGCGGCGGACGGGUGAGUAACACGUGGGUAACCUGCCUGUAAGACUGGGAUAACUCCGGGAAACCGGGGCUAAUACCGGAUGGUUGUUUGAACCGCAUGGUUCAAACAUAAAAGGUGGCUUCGGCUACCACUUACAGAUGGACCCGCGGCGCAUUAGCUAGUUGGUGAGGUAACGGCUCACCAAGGCGACGAUGCGUAGCCGACCUGAGAGGGUGAUCGGCCACACUGGGACUGAGACACGGCCCAUACUCCUACGGGAGGCAGCAGUAGGGAAUCUUCCGCAAUGGACGAAAGUCUGACGGAACAACGCCGCGUGAGUGAUGAAGGUUUUCGGAUCGUAAAGCUCUGUUGUUAGGGAAGAACAAGUACCGUUCGAAUAGGGCGGUACCUUGACGGUACCUAACCAGAAAGCCACGGCUAACUACGUGCCAGCAGCCGCGGUAAUACGUAGGUGGCAAGCGUUGUCCGGAAUUAUUGGGCGUAAAGGGCUCGCAGGCGGUUUCUUAAGUCUGAUGUGAAAAGCCCCCGGCUCAACCGGGGAGGGUCAUUGGAAACUGGGGAACUUGAGUGCAGAAGAGGAGAGUGGAAUUCCACGUGUAGCGGUGAAAUGCGUAGAGAUGUGGAGGAACACCAGUGGCGAAGGCGACUCUCUGGUCUGUAACUGACGCUGAGGAGCGAAAGCGUGGGGAGCGAACAGGAUUAGAUACCCUGGUAGUCCACGCCGUAAACGAUGAGUGCUAAGUGUUAGGGGGUUUCCGCCCCUUAGUGCUGCAGCUAACGCACUAAGCACUCCGCCUGGGGAGUACGGUCGCAAGACUGAAACUCAAAGGAAUUGACGGGGGCCCGCACAAGCGGUGGAGCAUGUGGUUUAAUUCGAAGCAACGCGAAGAACCUUACCAGGUCUUGACAUCCUCUGACAAUUCAAGAAAUAAAA
rnacentral:rRNA from 1 species